UGGAAUAGGAUUUCCUCCGGCAGUCGGAUAAAACCGUACAUCCAUGAUGUACCAGGCAACAGCGCAGCUGUACUGUGAACAGAGCUCAAUUUGUUUCUACCUUUUUACAAUCCACGCGCACGGAGUGAGAGAAAGGCGGCGAGGCGGGCAAGCUUUAUCGGGACCGUAAAUCAAAUAAAUAGAAAGCGGGAUAAGAAGAGGACCGUAUUAAACAGGUCAGAGGGUGUGCCAUGGGAGCGACAGCCCUUCCUACGCUGGUUUGUACUUGGAUUGGAAUGUCCACAAUGCAAGGUGUUCUACAUUGGAAGGACAAAGAGACGCCUUCAAGACCGCUCAGCGGAACACAAGUACGCCAUACGGGUAGGUAAUGAAGACUACCCCAUGGCAAGGCACUACAAGUCCCUACACCAUGGCAACCCUGCCUCCCUACAAGCUAUGGGUAUUGAUCAUAUUCCGGCCUCUAUUAGAAAAGGGGACCGUCUUAAACAUUUAAACCAAAGGGAAAGUUUUUGGAUUUACAAACUACAGGCCACUAAAUACCCUGGUUUAAAUGAAGAUAGGGAUUUCUCACCCUUCCUGUGGGGUUGUGAUGGGUCCAUUUGCUGUCAUCUAGUGGACAUUUUGCUCUAUUGCUCUCAGCUAUGGUUAGACUGUUGUUGUUCAUGUUUUGCUGUGUUCUAGUGUACUAUGGUAUAUUUAGCUUUCUUAUUCUUGACACUUCUCCCAGUCAUAUUUAAGGUUAGAACUACCUUUUAGUCUUCUGAUACUUCUAAUUUGGAGUUGUAUUUUUAUGAUAACAUAGCUACAGUAUUUUAAUGUGUAUAGUAUUGCUUACUAGGUGUGUCCAAUCAAUUGUGUAACCACUCCCUCUUCCAAUUAGGGCUAAUUGAUAAGCUGUUUAAAAGAGGACCUUGUAUUCCUCUUUUUUUGUACUCCCUGACGAAGGCCAUGCAGCCAAAACGCGUCGGUUUAAAAAAAAACUUUGUUUCUAUUGAACAUGCCAUACU